rnacentral:rRNA from 1 species
GACGAACGCUGGCGGCGUGCUUAACACAUGCAAGUCGAACGAUGAAGAAGAGAAACGCGAACUUCGGUUCAAAUUUCACUUCGGAUUAGUGGCAGACGGGUGAGUAACGCGUGAGCAACCUACCUCUUACAAAGGGAUAGCCUCGGGAAACCGUGAUUAAUACCAUAUGACACAUUCAUAAGGCAUCUUAAGAAUGUUAAAGCUACGGCGGUAAGAGAUGGGCUCGCGUCCCAUUAGCUAGUUGGUGAGGUAACGGCCCACCAAGGCGACGAUGGGUAACCGGCCUGAGAGGGUGAACGGUCACAUUGGAACUGAGACACGGUCCAAACUCCUACGGGAGGCAGCAGUGGGGAAUAUUGCACAAUGGAGGGAACUCUGAUGCAGCGACGCCGCGUGAGCGAUGAAGGAAUUCGUUUCGUAAAGCUCUGUUCUAUGGGAAGAAAAGGACUGUACCAUAGGAGUAAGCCCCGGCUAAAUACGUG